AGAGGGUGCAAACGUUGCUCGGAAUUACUGGGCGUAAAGCGCGUGUAGGCGGGCUUGCAAGUCAGAUGUGAAAGCCCUGGGCUCAACCCAGGAACUGCAUUUGAAACUGCAAGUCUUGAGUGUCGGAGAGGAAAGCGGAAUUCCUGGUGUAGAGGUGAAAUUCGUAGAUAUCAGGAGGAACACCGGUGGCGAAGGCGGCUUUCUGGACGAUAACUGACGCUGAGACGCGAAAGCGUGGGGAGCAAACAGGAUUAGAUACCCUGGUAGUCCACGCCGUAAACGAUGAACACUAGGUGUCGUGGGUAUUGACCCCCGCGGUGCCGUAGCUAACGCAUUAAGUGUUCCGCCUGGGAAGUACGGUCGCAAGACUA
rnacentral:rRNA from 1 species